rnacentral:rRNA from 1 species
ACUCAAAGGAAUUGACGGGGGCCCGCACAAGCGGCGGAGCAUGUGGCUUAAUUCGACGCAACGCGAAGAACCUUACCAAGGCUUGACAUACGCCGAAAACUCGCAGAGAUGUGGGGUCCGUAAGGGCGGCGUACAGGUGGUGCAUGGUUGUCGUCAGCUCGUGUCGUGAGAUGUUGGGUUAAGUCCCGCAACGAGCGCAACCCUCGUUCCAUGUUGCCAGCGGGUAAUGCCGGGGACUCAUGGGAGACUGCCGGGGUCAACUCGGAGGAAGGUGGGGAUGACGUCAAAUCAUCAUGCCCCUUAUGUCUUGGGCUGCACACAUGCUACAAUGGCCGGUACAAUGGGCUGCGAAGCCGUAAGGUGGAGCGAAUCCCAAAAAGCCGGUCUCAGUUCGGAUUGGGGUCUGCAACUCGACCCCAUGAAGUCGGAGUCGCUAGUAAUCGCAGAUCAGCAACGCUGCGGUGAAUACGUUCCCGGGCCUUGUACACACCGCCCGU